CCCGUUGAAUUUAAGCAUAUAAUUAAGCAGAGGAAAAUAGACUUACAAGGAUUCCCCUAGUAACAACUAGUGAACCAGGAAGAGCCCAUCAUAAAAAUCGGGUGGCAGCGUUGCCUAAAUUGUAGUCUGUAUAAGCAUCCUUAGUGGCAGACCAAGCCCAAGUCCCCUGGAAGGGGCCACCUGAGAGGGUGAUAGCCCCGUCAGGUUGGGACCUUGUCGCACCACGAGGCUUUGUCAACGAGUUGGGUUGUUUGGGAAUGCAACCCUAAUUGGGUGGAAAAUUUCGUCCAAGGCUAAAUACGGACGAGAUACCGAUAGUGAACAAGUACCACGAGGGAAAUAUGAAAAGGUCUUUGAAAAUAGAGUUAAAGAGUGCUUGAAAUUGCAAGGAGGGAAGCGAAUGGAGGCCAACGAUGCGUCUUGGUUAGAUGCAGAAUGACUCAAGUUGGUCCACCACUUGACUCGAGGUGUGAACCAGCACAGGCCAUUGCAUUGGCACAAGCGUGGGUGGAGUAAUUCCUGUUGUUUUUCCAUUAUGGCAGUCGAGGAGUGGAGAAAUCAAGGGAUUCCACCAACACUCAUUUAAAUUUAUUUUUAAUUUCUUGCCAAUACUUCUUUUAGUUUGUUGAUAU
rnacentral:ncRNA from 1 species